CCAGGUGAUGAGUCUAAGGCGAAUGUGAUGUGCUUCCUCCUGACCGUACUCCUUUGCACCCCCACUCUUCUGGUCAGGGUGGGGGCUGUCUGUACUGAUCUGUGAUCUUGGUGCGUGGGUAGGAGCCGCCACCCCCCACCGUAAAGCCAGAUCUACAUCAAACUUCCGCGCCCCUUGCCCAGCCUCAGCUUCCCAGAGAACACAGGAUGCUGCAGUCUGGGAAAGGGGGCACAUGCCUGCAUGGGGGUCAAAGGUCAAUACAGUGGGGAGAAGCAAUGAGCACUAAUUCUCAAACUCUGAUGGCA
rnacentral:snoRNA from 1 species